rnacentral:lncRNA from 1 species
AAAUUUGUGGUCUAAACAAUUUUUUUACUAUUCCUUUUCAAUUGCAUAUAGAUUAUGACCUUUAUGUUUUCCUUGCCUUUGUGUAACAGCUUAAAAUAAGCAAUCAUGUCAGAUGAUACCUUUUGGUAAAAACAAAUUUGCAGAUCUUCAGAAAACAAAAUAAAAUAAUCAAUGUCUUAUAAAGUUAAUAUGAAAGAGACAGAUUCUUAAACCAGAAAGGACAUUUAUUAACUCAAUAUUUAUUUUGAAUCAUUCUCAAUGUAUAUACCAUUUGGAACACAGGCUGAAAUAUUUCUAAUGAAAAAGUAAUGUUUUUAUUAUGAAAUGUACAAAACAGGUUAAUUUUCUGUUUUUUUAGAGUGCUAUUGAAAUAGGAAUUAUUUUCUAUUGAAAAUAGUAACAAACUUUAAUCAAAUAGCAUCAUACAUACAUACAUAUUGCCUGAAAUGUUUACUUCUGUAAAUUCAGAAAUUACUGAGUGCAUCUAUUAUUGCAAACAGUUUAUUACUGGUGAAAAUGCAAGAUCUGAUCCAAUUAAAAAACUUCUUAGAAGGAAAAACGCUAAGAUAUUAAUAAUAAAUGCUAAUUUUUAUUAUUGCAAACCUGUGUUGUUGCACUUUUUGGAUUAAUAUAAACAUUGCAAUAAUUCCUGAAGUUUCAGUAUUUUCAGAAGAUUACCCUUUUCAAAGAAAGUAAUUCCUCUGAAGCCUCCCUUAUAAUUUGUAACAGUCCCAAAUGUGUUGUCGUUAUUUCACAACAUGUAUAAUAAAAGAAUGCAAAAUUUUGUCAACUUAUCAUCAUUUCAAGGCAAUAUAAUCCACGCAAAUCAAAACUGCAAUGUUUUAUCGAAGUGCAUAGAUCCAAUGUUUAAGUGUAAAAAUUUUAUAAAUUUUUGAAAUUCAUUUAAUUUUAUAGACCAUUUGACCCCAAAUCUUCUUUAUGCAUCUUGUGAUUGGUUUGGGGUCCAAAAAUAAUAAUAAAAAGGUAAAUUGAAUUUACUGGUUUUUGAUUGGUUAUCAUUCUACUUAUGUGCAAUUAUCAUUUAAUAGUGAUAUAUUUAUACUUGAUGUUAUUAUAAUAAAAUGUUUAUUUGAA